CUCCCCGCCCCAGUCCGGCCUCUAUUGAAACACCUCGGCCGCGGACCAGCGCGAGCUCCCAUCUCCCGGUCCUAGCCGGCCGGUGGGACCGCAGCCUGCAGCCCACUUCGCUGCGAAUGGGAUAAGAAAACCUGUAGAGAUAACAACUGGAUGAAGAGUUUCCAAGGGACACAGCGGGGGAGGUUGGCAGGAAUUGGGGAGCUAACAACAGCAAGUGCAAA